rnacentral:rRNA from 1 species
AUUGAACGCUGGCGGCAGGCCUAACACAUGCAAGUCGAGCGGAGCGGCGGACGGGUGAGUAAUGCCUAGGAAUCUGCCUGGUAGUGGGGGAUAACGUCCGGCAACGGGCGCUAAUACCGCAUACUAGCAGCUGAGCCUAGGUCGGAUUAGCUAGUGGGUGGGGUAAAGGCCUACCAGGGCGACGAUCCGUAACUGGUCUGAGAGGAUGAUCAGUCACAUGGGAACUGAGAAACGGUCCAGAUUCCUACGGUAGGCAGCAGUGGGGAAUAUUGGACAAGGGGGGAAAGCCUGAUCCAGCCAUGCCGCGUGUGUGAAGAAGGUCUUCGGAUUGUAAAGCACUUUAAGUGGGGAGGCGGUACCAACAGAAUAAGCACCGGCUAACUUCGUGCCAGCAGCCGCGGUAAUUC